rnacentral:rRNA from 1 species
GAUGAACGCUGGCGGCGUGCCUAAUACAUGCAAGUCGAGCGAACGGACGAGAAGCUUGCUUCUCUGAUGUUAGCGGCGGACGGGUGAGUAACACGUGGAUAACCUACCUAUAAGACUGGGAUAACUUCGGGAAACCGGAGCUAAUACCGGAUAAUAUUUUGGACCGCAUGGUUCAAAAGUGAAAGACGGUCCUGCUGUCACUUAUAGAUGGAUCCGCGCUGCAUUAGCUAGUUGGUAAGGUAACGGCUUACCAAGGCAACGAUGCAUAGCCGACCUGAGAGGGUGAUCGGCCACACUGGAACUGAGACACGGUCCAGACUCCUACGGGAGGCAGCAGUAGGGAAUCUUCCGCAAUGGGCGAAAGCCUGACGGAGCAACGCCGCGUGAGUGAUGAAGGUCUUCGGAUCGUAAAACUCUGUUAUUAGGGAAGAACAUAUGUGUAAGUAACUGUGCACAUCUUGACGGUACCUAAUCAGAAAGCCACGGCUAACUACGUG